GUAGAUAGCAGAAGGUUGACUGGAUAUUUUGAUGUACACCAAUGUAAAAUCAUAUUGCAUGUUAUUGGUAUGCUGUUUGCACAGAUCUGUUUCAAAUCAAGUAAACUGUCUGAGUGCCAUGAUGAUGAUCAAUUUCAUCAGCUCUAUUGGAAGAGCAAAUUUGUCAUGAAGACAAACAACUGUUAUGGAUAGGAUUAUAGUAAAAGUGUUGUCAAGUCAAGGUUGCAGCAGUGCUUUAUUUUACGACUUCGUGUCCAACAAAUAUGUGGAACCCGCCUUUGUGUCCAACAAAUAUGUGGAACCCGGUUAACUUAAGCUUAACAAACAAAUAAUUCUUGCAUGCUGAAACAUUUGAAGCAAACGUAGUUAUGUCGAUUUUUCGUCACUUGGCGAGUCUUUCGCAGAAGAAAUAAAUAAAACUUUCAAAACGCAACGAAAGCAACAAC